CACGGGCAAACCGUUAUAAGUAGCGAUGGACACGAACCGAAAUGCAAUUUUCAGACUAUAUAAUUAAUAUAUAUAUUAUUAAAUACUUUUAGAAUAUUCGUUUGAAUUCGAUGAUUGGACAAAUUAUGAAUCUGUAUUGUACAUAACUUGAAUUUGGUACAAGAUCACGAGGAUUUCGAUCCCAUCGCUAGUUGUAUGUAGCCGGUUGAGACUGAUGCAAAGCCGCCGAUGAUUUUUCUAGGGAAAAAGCAAUCAUGAAAGAAAUAAACGCGCGCGUCGCGACGCCUGCGUCACUACACCCGGCGUACAUCCAUGGCCAAGGUUCUCCCCGGUCACGGGCAACCCGUUAUACGUAGCUGGGAGCCAACACUUGCCCGAGGUCGUCCAUGACUGUCUUAUUCGCCCCAAGGCUUGGGAAAAGUUGAUCUCAGGAAGAUCCACCUAAUACGCUAUGAAAAUAUACAACGUAGAGAUGAACGUUAUUUUCAUGCAUACAAAUGAUUUUACCUUGAAUUAAAACAUUCAAAAGAAGAACUUUGUACGUUAAAGGUGAUUCAUCGAGGUAGUCGAAAUUUGGAGCAGUUUCUACAUUGCGUUAUGAUUAAUUUUUGUUGACGCGCGUACGUGCUCCAACUAGACGUCACGUCCUCGUGACCUGUAUGCAGCUGUGUGCACAUAGUGUACGUCAGUGUAAGCUCAUGUACGUCGUAUCGAGACACGUCAAGGCCAGAACCGUAGACGCGAGGAUUCACGAUGGAAAAUCACGAUCACGACGACGGAAAAAAUGGAGCUUCCUGCAAAAUUCAGAAAAAGAAGAAGAUAAUGGAACAAUUAAUAGACGAUACUUUGUUUUCCUGGGCGACGAAAAUCGAGAAGAAGAAAAUUCUCCCUUUAACUGGUGUACUUUCUGCAUCUUAUGAAAUCGAUUCUAUUAUCAUUUCUGAGCAAAUCGUUCCCAAUAAUCCUCUUUGUUUCUCCCGGUUUGAGAAUAAAUAAAUAAUUUUAAUGCUAUGUACCAUGAUUUUAACUUGACAAAUACGAUUUGGAGAUGAUGACGUUAGAAAGAAAUUGCCAGGCAUAAAAGAAAAAUACAAAAUCGAUACUUUAUGACAGAGAAAUUAAAGUGGAAGUAAUUUAGUUAAUGCGUUUACACUACGAGAACUUAGCGGUCGUAAAUUUUCCUAAAAAUUUGCGCAACAUUCUCUUAAAUAUCAUUGUUCUUUUUAAUACAUUAAACUGUCAAAUAACUUUCAUCGAAUAUUGUGUACCGUAAAACGAUCCCGAAAUAAAAGUGUCUUUCCUUUGAAUUAACAAAUUUCCAAUUCUUCCAAUGUUUCUUCGGAUACUUUAUAUAUUAACGAUCGCUUAUUAUGUAACUGCACACUUCUAUAGUUUCAAACCAGAAGAGACCAUUAUUUUCGUAGAAGCAAAAAUUUGAAAAACGAGGAAGCGAUUCCUUCGAAAAGUAGCCAUGAACGAGAAGGUGGAUUUUUCAGGAUAAGGAUUAAACGCAUAAAUAAUAGACAAGAUAUUCUGUAUAAUUCACCAGACAAUGUUUAUUCAGACGACCUCACAACUCCCAAGCGUACAAAACGACGUGCUCACUGGGCAAUAUGCGGGGCUGCGUUUGUAUUCUUGCAAUUGUAAUACAGUACACUUUCGGUAUGUUCAUUUUUUCCGUACAAUGUUUUUUUCUUAUUUUUUAUUCAUUCCACCAUUCAAUAUUAUCGUUUAUUAUUAUUAUUAUGAUUUUUUUUUUACGUUUUCUCUUCAUCCCUAUAUCUUUGUUGUUUUGCGCUCUGCCUUGCACUGUUUCUCUCUCGCUCGCUCUCUCUCUCUCUCUUUCUUUCUCUCUCUCUCUCUCUCUCUCUCUCUCAUAUCAAGUUUCCACCAAGAAACAACAGCUGCUUGCAUCCUCCUUUUCUUAAUGGAUAGAGAAAUAUAUCAUACUUUAUGUAUCGUUUACUAUAAUAAUCAUUAUGUGUAGUUUAUGCAUAACAAGUAUUACGAAUAUCAACGCUAGUUCGCUUGCGGGGACAUAUCCAGGGUAUUGAGGACAAGGAUUGUGAGAGAACUCGUUGGGAAACUUGGACAUGGAAAGGACAAUUAUACUUGGACGAACUGGGGGAUUUGCUGAAGAGACGAUAGCAUCGAUCUGUGGAUAAUAGCUUGAGAUAUGGAAAAAUCGCAGCCAGUGUACACGUAAAUGUACGCUUGACAUGGCUACGACGAUACGGAUGGACAACUGUUCACAUGGCUGGAUUGUUCUCUAAGCGGGGACUGGCUAAUAUGCUGCAGGAAGGAAACAAGGGGAUGUUCGUUUCGUAGAGGUUAUCGAUAGGUGACAGCAAGAAGGAUUCAAGGGUCAAAAAACGAGUCGAGGGAGCGUGGUGUACGUGUAUGUUCGUGUGUGUUAUGUGUGUUGCGCUUUGUGAUACACAGCGUAAAAAGGGGAGGGAAUGACUUUGUCCUCGAGUACAAUAAAUACACAGAGUGGUUUCACUACGAAGCUUCUUCAAGGUUGUGUGUAAACGUGUGUGAAUUUGUCUGCGUGUGUGGAUCGAGGGGAUUCGAACGGUGCUGCGCUCAAAAAAAGUAGCGAGACAACGGUUUUUAUGCGUGCCCAUCGAGCAAUUCUUUUUUUUUUCGCGUCUGCCCUACCAUUUUUCAUCCUAUCACUUCCUUCCUCUUUCUUACUCUUGUUUUACUCGCGUGUAUGAUGUUAUCGUUUCUCUUUCUCGCGUUGUUCGUGUUUCGAGCUGACCUAUGCGUUUUUUUUUUUUGCUCCGUGUCUAUACGCGUGUGUAUAUGUUUUAUGUGGUUUUGUUACAUCAAAGCGUGUGUUUCUUCGUGUAUUUUCUCUAGGUUGUUGUUGUUGUUGUUGUUGUUGCUGCGUUUUUCUCGCCACGAUUCACUGUUUUACAUUCCAUUAUGGUUUUUUUUUCAUUGUGUUCUAUGCCUUAUCUCUCUCCUGCACCGAUAUGAUACUUCUCGGUGUCAACUGUACUACGGGGGGCAUAAGGGGGGUGGGGCGGGCGUCUCAACAACACGUCGGGGGCGACCCGCCGCGUAUAUAACUUCGCACUGUAUGUUUUUUCAUCUCUUUUACACGCUUGUUCGCUCUAUAUUUUCCCCUACAUAUUUCUUUCUCGCUCUCGCUUUCUUUCCUUUCUCACCGAGCAUUUCGUUUUUCUCGAAAAAAAAAAAGCAAAAAACUCGUCCACUCGCGCCUUUCUAGGACUUAGCCUUACGAAUCUACUAUUUACACUGCGCCGUUGUUACUUUGUAUGGUUUCUUUAACGCCGAAUUACUACACCACGCGACUUCGCUUUCCUCCGCAUUUCUUCUCGUUCCUUUCUUUCCUCUCG